AUAAAUCAGUUUUCUGUUGUUGUUUUUUUAUUUUAAAUAAAAGCAGAGGUUGAGUCUACUGGCUACGUCUACGUUCAGUUACGCGUUCUGAUUCGACCUCCGUUUGACUGUAGACAACCAAUUAGAAACGUAGGAUUUGCCGAGCGCAGACAACCAAUCAGACGCCGACCUUCAAAGCUGAACCUGCCGCUGAGGUCAACGGAGGUGUCCUGUGAUUGUAGUCUACAGUAUUUCUGAGACCCUGACAAGACAUUGACAAGCACCAGUCAGAGGUCGCAAACCCACAUCGGAAGGGAGAGGUGAGGAGCCGGUGGGUGACAUACCUCCUUGCUGAAUACGCUGGGAGUGUCCCACAAAUCUCCUGUCACCUCGAAGCCAACAUCAAGCCCCUCCAAGACGGAUCGUUCCUUAUAGCCAGGUGAUGAGACUGAACUGUUAGCUGUAAGCCAGGCUGUGGAAGACUUGCACAGGUCCC